rnacentral:rRNA from 1 species
GGCGGCGAGUGGCGAACGGGUGAGUAAUGCAUAGGAAUCUGCCCAUGUAGUGGGGGACAACUUCGGGAAACCGGAGCUAAUACCGCAUACGUCCUACGGGAGAAAGCGGGGGAUCUUCGGACCUCGCGCUAUUGGAUGAGCCUAUGUCCGAUUAGCUUGUUGGUGGGGUAAUGGCCUACCAAGGCGACGAUCGGUAGCUGGUCUGAGAGGACGAUCAGCCACACUGGGACUGAGACACGGCCCAGACUCC